rnacentral:rRNA from 1 species
CAACGAGCGCAACCCUUGCCAUUAGUUGCUACAUUCAGUUGGGCACUCUAAUGGGACUGCCGGUGACAAACCGGAGGAAGGUGGGGAUGACGUCAAGUCCUCAUGGCCCUUAUGGGUAGGGCUUCACACGUCAUACAAUGGUCGGGACAGAGGGUUGCCAAGCCGCGAGGCGGAGCCAAUCUCAGAAACCCGAUCGUAGUCCGGAUCGCAGUCUGCAACUCGACUGCGUGAAGUCGGAAUCGCUAGUAAUCGCGGAUCAGCAUGUCGCGGUGAAUACGUUCCCGGGUCUUGUACACACCGCCCGUCACACCAUGGGAGUGGGUUUCACCAGAAGUAGGUAGCCUAACCGCAAGGGGGGCGCUUACCACGGUGAGAUUCAUGACUGGGGUGAAGUCGUAACAAGGUAACC